rnacentral:rRNA from 1 species
GUGCCAGCCGCCGCGGUAAUACGGGGGGAGCAAGCGUUGUUCGGAUUUACUGGGCGUAAAGGGCGCGUAGGCGGUCGUGACAAGUCACUUGUGAAAUCUCCGGGCUUAACUCGGAACGGUCAAGUGAUACUGUCGGACUAGAGUACAGAAGGGGCAACUGGAAUUCUCGGUGUAGCGGUGAAAUGCGUAGAUAUCGAGAGGAACACCUGCGGCGAAGGCGGGUUGCUGGGCCG